rnacentral:rRNA from 1 species
CAGUAGCCGCGGUAAUACGAAGGGGGCUAGCGUUGUUCGGAUUUACUGGGCGUAAAGGGUGCGUAGGCGGAUUGUUAAGUCAGGGGUGAAAUCCCGAGGCUCAACCUCGGAACUGCCUUUGAUACUGGCGAUCUUGAGUCCGGGAGAGGUGAGUGGAACUGCGAGUGUAGAGGUGAAAUUCGUAGAUAUUCGCAAGAACACCGGUGGCGAAGGCGGCUCACUGGCCCGGUACUGACGCUGAGGCACGAAAGCGUGGGGAGCAAACAGGAUUAGAUACCCCAGUAGUCCCUGUCUCUUAUAC